UCCUGGACUCCUAGUCCCACCUCUCUUGCUUCCCUAUUGGCCAACAGUGCUUUAUUGACAUCUAUACAGUGCUUCCCCCAUCACUUUCCCAUUUCUUGCUUGAUGUUUCCGCCUUUUAUGGUAGUCUGGCUUUAACCAGUCUGACUAUUCUGAGGUACAGAUGCAGAUGGGAACUACUGAAGUGCUCCUGCUUGUCUCUUUCACCUCAAGACAGUCAGUCAACAUUUCACAGGUCUAAGACUCUGGGGGGGGGGAGGUGGAGAGCCUCAUGGACCCACACAAAUCUAAUGCUUAGAACAAUUAAAAUACGUGUGGUGCAUUGAGCUUGGCCUUAUGCUUUUAUUAAAUUGACCACGAUGGAGCAAUCCAAACAACGCUGCACAAAGGACACACGUGACCAAGUCCUAUAACGUUUAAUGUACUUGACCCUGAUACGUGGCUCUGUCUUUCCUUUAGUCUUCCUCGGGAAGUAAAGAUGAUGCUCACUUAACCUAGGAGAAACAGAGUAGCCAAGACUUUGCAUGGAGAGCUCAUGGUACUCCACCCAUCUUUGGACAUGGUGGUAUCUCAUUUAUGAUAACAAAUGAAGCUUGCCUGAAGAUCAGAGUGCAGAGCUAGACACACUAGUCAUCCAUAGAGUCCAGGCGGUGUUGGCACACACCUUUAACCCCACCAUUUCGGUAGGUUGUUUCUAGAAACAGCCUUGUAGAAAUGUUAAGGUACACAAGGAAUAUUUGCAUAAGGAAAGCUGCAGACCCGGCAGAUAAACCUUCAAGGGUUAAGGAAUAUUCCACACAUCUGAACUCCAGAGGGGAAGUCCCACAAACCCUAAACACCAUGCUUGGAUCCACACAGCCCAGCCUCCCACACCCCAGUAACUGCCCUGUUCAUUUCUGCCGGUAGCUGCCUCUGCUGUCUUAGCAUAAACCUUGCCCUCAUUGACAGUUCACGAAGAGCCCAAGAUGAACUUACAGAAGCCCAUUAGGUGAGGGGCUGACUGCUUAAGGUGUGGAGAAAAGAGAACACUCACCCAGAUUUUUUUCUUCCCUUCUGUUGAGAAAACUUGGCAAACACUCAGAAAGAACACUGUGAGUGUCGCUGCCCUCUAGUGGCUAGUGAAGCUCCCACCGUUGCAGGGAAGUUCAGUCACUGCCUGGAUCUCUAUAGAGCUACCUGCUCAUUCUUGGAUAUAACUUAAUCUCGUGGCACUCUCAAAGAUCUCGCUGAGGGUUCCUCAUUUCCGAGUUGAAGAUAAGUGUCAGAUUCUCAAGACAGAGCAAAACAGUUCCAUGAGUAAUUCAUUAAGUGACAGGAAGUCCCAGAUACAGGAUUUAAGACUAGGGCUAAUUGUGUUAGUUUAAUUAAACGAGCUAUGUGAACCUUGUAAGAUGAAUUCAGCCUGUGCUCACUCUGUUAGCAUCUACACAUAGGCUUUCAAACCUGUUCCAUGUUGCCCUACCCUCUCACACCCCUACCCUGCUGUCCAUUUUCAAUGGCUUAGGAUACACACACAGCACUUUGGGUGAGGAAUCAUGAAAUACCCCUAGCAGACAAUGAUGGUAUAAAGGCCACAUCCCAAAGACACAGAGAAGAGAACAAAGACAUGGGAAAGAGACUAUAUGUACACAGGAAAGGACUGUGAUCCUAGAAAUUGAUUAGGGUUAAUGUUUGAAAAUGAUCUAGGAAACUGUCAAAAUUGCUGGUUGGGCUGGGAGGGACCUUUGGGUAUCAAGACAAAUUGAUCUUGUCAGGAAGUACCCUGACAUGCUGUAAUACAUUGCCUUGAUAGGAGAGAUCUCUGUUUACUAUAUGAAGGACCAUCUGUCCUCUUCUUUUGUCAGAAUGCCUGGACUGAGGAAUCACAGAGCCUAAUAGCUAAUUACAUCUGAUUAUUCUGAAGGUUACCACUAAUGCGUAAUACACAUUUAAUAAAAUGCCCUUAUGUGUGAUAAUUCAAAUUUCAUUUAAAAUGAGAGCUAGAAAACCAUCAGAUGUCCAAGGGCAAAGCUGAACAGUCAUGAUUUCUCCUGCAAAAACGAAAAUGUGUGUAGCGUUUUAUUUGACCACUGAUAUAAGCCUUUAUGUGUUUUUCUCAUUGUAUUUAUUAUUCAGUGGCAUUGUGUUAAGGACAACAGCAUAAAUGUUAGUCUUCUACAAAUAAAGCUGAAUAGCCAGCUGAGACGCGUGAACAUAGACCAUAGAACAGUGGUUCUCAACCUCUGGGUCGUGACCCCAUUGGGAGGUUCAUAUAUCAGAUAUCCUGCAUAUCAGAUAUCAUAACAAUAGCAAAUUCACAGUCAUGAAGUGGCAAUGAAAAUAAUUUUACGGUUGGGGGGGUCACCACCACAUGAGGGACUGUAUGAAAGGGUUGUAAUAUUAGGAAGGUUGAGAACCGUUGUCUUAGAAAAUAAUUCCACCAGAUGUGGCCUUUCUUCUCAGGGUCUGAGCUAGUAAAAUACCAGGUAUAUUUCCUUAUUUUUCAUUUUUGCCUCUCCACCGUGCUGUUUGCCCAGAGUAGGAAAUAUUGUUUUUAAUGUUAGAAAAUGCUAUUUGAUGCAUGGAAACAUUCCAAUGAGUUCCAUUUCCAUCUGCAAAGUUUUCUUUUCCCCUGACUUAGCACUCAGCCAUUCACCAGGGGAAGGAAGCCUGUUGUUUCUCAAUUUUCAGAGCUGCACAGGUAAUUGCUACAUUUACGAUGUCAGUUGCAUGAGGUAUCUUGGCUCCCAAUUGACUGAUUGGGGAGUCCAGGUCCCAAAUUCUGCAGACUUAAUUCUGAGGUUUGCAUAGAAGUACUGAUGGUACUUUUUCUGAGGGAAAGGGUGUUGUUUCUAUUUACCUGUGGUAGAGAAACACCAUAAGAAGGGUUUAAAGAAUUGGAAGCCUAGACAAACCGACAAGGAUUCAACAGCAUUUCUGAAGUGGGGCACGAACUCAGUAAAUUGUGUCUGUACAAGGACUGCCAAUACUCAUCUGCAGUAUAAGGAUCAGUGGGAUUGUGGAUCCGACAUCUGCUCCAGUGUCCUUGAUUAAAAAACAAAACAAAACAUGAAAAUGGCAUUAGUGGCGCCUAAAACACAGGCAAAGAAGGCAAAACUUAACUAUAAAAGCUGAGGCAAUGGUAAGGAUAGGUCAUCUGCUCUCAGUAAUUCUCAGUGUGCUGUGUGAAUGUUACGAGCUUGAGUUUUGGUAUGCCAAACACAUGUUCCCGGAACCAAUUUUACCCAUUUCAAAAAAAGAUUCACAGUGACUACUUUUCCGGACUCCAUUUCCUGGUCCUUUGGACUGGAGGUCUUGAGCACCACCUCUUUGACUCUGCACUUCCCUGGAGCUAACUCAUCUGCCACCUCCUCCAGCAAGUGUCCUUCUAUCGCCCCUUGUGAACAGCAUCCGUGCUCUCAGCGUCUGAGUGUUACAAUGUUGCCAGUGGUUCUCUGCUGCUCCUCCACUCCACAAGUACAAGGGACUGGACAAGCACAAGGGACUCGGAGAUUGUCCGUUAAUAGUUUCUGCCAGUGCCACUGCCGCACGAGGAGCUCUUAAGUAAUGGCUUAUCCAUCCCUACCAUCAAGUUUGUCCUCUUCCACCAAGCCUGGGUGGCUUUCAUCGUCCCAGACUGGAAAGGAAGCUCCACGGGAAGAAGGUGUACUUACCAGUCAAGACAAUUAGAGAAGUGCUGGAAGAAAGAGAACCAGCACAAGUUUAGCCCCAGAAAGUGUCAUCUACACAAUGAUUCAAUUACAACUGGACACACUGCUGAGCUACACAGAUUUGUCUAUGCCCGUUCUGAUGUUCCUGUUGGGAAUGCCAACCACCAACCUCCUUCUCCCUCAUUGUUUUUGACUUCAGAAAAAUAUUACCAGGACUUAUUUCAACUUUCAUCUCAUUUGUAAAACCUUUCGUAGUUUCCCUUCUGGCAGAAUAAAUAGCACAGUGUCAUGUUCCUCUCUACCUUGUAGUUCUCUUGAUCUCAGAACACGGGAAGUGCACUGAGCGUGAUGCAGUCUCCACCAAGACUGAAUCUUGCAAUGCUAAAUUAAAGGUGUUCCUACUGCUGUAUUCUUCACACCUGGUGUUAGCCAGAUGCUGUUGAUCAUAUAGCUGCUUUGCUUAGAUCUUCCAAUGUAGGGGUAAGGCCCACAAAACUCUUCAUACCCCUAAGGGCAGAGAUAAGGAAAUUAGCACAGAUGAAGAUUAAAGGAAGCAAAAAAAAAAAAAAAAGGAAGCUCUCUUUGGAAACAUGCCAUGAUUCUGAUUCCAAGCUUGUGUGAUAAUUCUUUCUUUCUCUGGUGAAUAAAUAUAUUGUAUUCCCUAUUGCAUUGACCUUCAUCUUUAUCCCAAGAUUUGGUCUUCAUUCUGGGCUUGGAUGCAGAAUCAUUGUAGGUGAAACUUAGAGAAAGGUAAAGGGGAUGACUAGGACAGAAGAUGGACAGUGGGCGAGCCUUCUGGAGCUGUCCCCCAAACACCAAAGAGCAUCUUACAAAGAGGAAUUUGACUGACUUUGAAUCUUGAGCUCAGAAGUUUCUGCCGUUGACCUUGGAGGCAUUGAUUUCUCCCCCGUGGUGAGUCAGAACAUCACAGAGUCUGGAGACUGUGGCAGAAGCCACACAGCUCAUGUGGACAGAGAGAAGAAGACAUGAAAGGAAGGUGCUGCCCCAGAGUGAAAUUCACCCUUGAAGAGCAUGUUCUCGAUGACACAGUUCUCUGCAUGACGUUUCCAGAAUUUCCCAAAAUAGUGUCACCAACUCCAGUCCAAACCUGCAUCCCAUGCCCAGACAUUGGCUAGAAGAGUGUGUACACACAUGUGGAGGCCAGAGAGAUCAACCCUAGGAAUUGGUUCUCCCAAGUUUUCAAUCUUCUGGAGACAGCAAUUAUCACUGGCCUGUAGUUCAAGACAGCCGAACUGGAUGGCUAGAGGGCCCUGGAACCUGCUUGUCUCCAAUGACUCACCACCAUGGUCUAGAAUUACAAACACGUGAUUCUGCUUCCAGCAGUCCAUGUGGGACCUAGAAAUUAAACUGAAUCUCCAUGGGUCUACGACAAGCUCAUUGUCAACGGCUUCAUCCUGUCAGGUGCCAAGUGACCAGUGCUCUAUGAACCCCAAAUCACUCUGAACAAUUCACAAGGACAAGUGGAUUUUUCCAAAAUACUGUGUGCAACAACCAAGCAACCAUUUCCAGAAAAUAUCUGCCCUAGAGACACCACACACACACACACACACACACACACACACACACACACACACCAGAGACAUUCCAAAUUGCCAUAUAUUUAGGCCACAUUCCUUCAAAACAUGUUCUUAAAUCCAAAAUGGUCAACUCAGCCCUGACCAGGAAUUAAAAUAAACAAAUCCACCUUGACUUAUUCCUAGCUCAUGGAUAUGAAGAUGUUUGUGGUUUCUUCAUCGGACAUCUUACAGAAAAUAAGCUAGGGAUGGCUACCCUUAGUGAUCUCAAGAUUGCUAGGCACCAAAGAAGUACAUUAGAAUGUAUUUCAGUGUUAGACUCGAAAGUGUUACAUGUUCAGCUAUUUGUAGGUCAGAACAAGUGAAUGCGGUCAAGGUACUGAACUGGAAGCCAUAGCUACCAUAUAAUUUUCUGCAAGUGCAUUCUAGAAGGAAGGAGGAUUCCUGGAGAACAGCAACUCAACAGAUCCGACGAGAUGAGUCACUUCUCAUUCUGAGGAGGAAACUGAGGCAUAAGAGAAUCCAAGGCUCCCCUACCCCACAAGAAAUCUUAUGCCUGGCUGAAAACAUUGCAAAAUGUGACUCCAGCCUAAACAUAGGGUGGGAGUAACAUGGCACAGGAAAAAGGAAUUUUUUAAAAAAAAUUAUUAUUGCAGCAUGGGGGAAAAAUUUGAGAAAAUGGGAAUAUUUGCAUCCUAUGUUCCCGAACCUUCAGGAAAUAAUGACUCUAAUGCAUCUCACAGCAUUAUUUCAUGCAUUUGAAGUUUUACACACAGAAUAUAUCUGGAAGGAAAAAGAAAUAUGCAGUCAAAGGUCUAAUGGUCAGCAAACACCAAGACCUUAGAAUUCCUUUAGCUUCGGUAAAAGUGGGGAGUUGUGAUUCCGAGAGCAUAGUCUAAGCUGAAAGAGGCCUCCUUGAGUCUCUUGCUGUCCUGAUUCAGCCUCCUGGGUCAUACAAACUGUCAAACACCAUCAGCAGAGGACAAGCAUAGGGCCCUGAGAGACGCCUCCAAGGAGAGCUAAUUGGGAAUCGGGCACCCAGUGGGCUCCUGAGACUCAGAAAAGAAGGGAGCAUUUAACAGGACAGCAUGACACGGGGAGUGACUCAUUAAAGUCACAAAACUUGAAGGGGUAACAACACAAAUCCAGCAGCUGUGACAUUUUUAGUCAAAUUCUCUUGAGGGUUAAAAUUAAGUGAGGGUAAAACAAAAGAGAAGCUAUGGACAUCGUUUCCACCACAAGGAUAAACUGUCUCCUGGAGUCUAAGCCCUUCUGUCUAAACAAAGGAAAACAGAUUGAAAAAAAUGAAAUUUCAUAUCUUCCACUGCCAGCUUUCUGGUAUAGCUCUUUGCGUGGGAGCUCAAAAAUGAUCUUUCAAUUUUGAUUAAUUAUAAGCUACUGUUAUCAUUAAUUUGUAAUAUUCUGACACUCUGGCAAGUGGGAUUAUCAAAGCCUGCGGUUUCGACCUGUGUGUCAGGCAUCUUCUCUGACGGAGGGUCACUGCCUCUGGGAUGCACUUGGAAGUUGUAAAACUGGCCAGUGAGUGCGUUAAAGUUUUUAGAAAGCUUGGGUCAAAACAAAACAAAACAAAACAAAACAACAACAAAAGAACAAAAAACAUCAUGUAUUCGAUUACAUUUAAAUACUGUUGUUUUGUUUUUCUAGGACGUCAAAAUAUCUGCUUUCAGGAAGGCCAGAAGCAAACACUGAAUUAAAAGGGUUUUAAAGAAUUAUCAAUCAGGUCUCCUGACCAGAUAAACAUUUAAUAGGGAAAUGAAACAUGGAGUGAAUAUACACACUGAUGCUCAAUGCAAUAUUAGAAAAAUCAAAUGCAAGAGUAUGGUAUGAACGUCUGGUGCUAGGGAACCUUAGACUGGUCUGUGUGUGCGGCUUCACUGAGAUGAGCAUCCUUUGCUGCCUCACAGGGAGACACUGGUUUCCAGCAAAGAGUGAUGUCUGGGUGUCGUGCUGUCCCCAAGGCCUCCUUAGUACUUGUCUGGGUUUGAUUUGUCAAUGGCCAAGGGGCGGCAUGAGGAAAGCCCCUCGCCUUCUUGCAUAAAAGGUUUUGUUUGGAAAGCAGUAAGAAGGGACGCCAUCCCAGGACAGUUACCCAAGGCCACACGAGCAUCACACAUGCAACAUGAACAACUCUCAGAGAUCAGUAGUGACCAUGCGUGGUACACGAGAAAAUGCCUAUUGGCCCAUCAUUAGAAGGCUCCUCACUCUCCUGCGUGGCAUUCUGUCUCCACUGGCAUCCGGGUCUCCUCAGAAACCUGGUCGGUUUACUCCUUGCCGUGGCCCCUCCGUGGUCUCCCUGUGAAGAUGCCUCUCCUCCCAGGAACUGUUUCUGGUUGCCAGUGGAAGCUACUCUGUUAUUCUGCCUCCAGCUCAUACAGAGCCGCCUUAGAGCGCUGAUCCUUUCUCUUUUAAAGUCAGCCGCUUAUUUUUCUUAAACCAGCACCUCAAUCUGUCGGCUGUGCAAAUGGAUCCUCUCCUGCUAACAUUGACAUUCCGCGUUGACUCUGUCCGUUAGCACCUUGCCUCACUGAAGUUGGCUUAUAUUGGAGCCAGUCUUACUUGGGCGUCUGUUUUCUGGACACUCACUGCACCGCACUCCUGUCGGUGGGUGAGCGCGCAGCUGCUCCCGUGGAUUUCCCACGUGGGGACUGUGGUAGAUUCAACUCCAUUGGUGUUGGAUAUAGGUUGUGCAUUCUACCACUUGGCAUAGAGUUCAGAAUAUGCUGGGUUUUUCCACACAUGCUUUAAACAAACAAACAAACAAACGCACUAAGUAGGUGUACUACUGGGAAAUUAUAAAGAUGGCUAUGAAAUGCAAUGUUUGUGAUGCCCUAAGAGAUGACACAGAACAAAAAUUUAUAGAAAUCUCCUUGUAGCAUCAGUAGAAGUGUGGGAAACAUUGGUUAAAAAUGACAGCUGGCUUAUGGAUAAUUUUAUAUUGGAUUUUGUAUUAAUUUGUAAUGAGAUACUUUAUAUGAAUUCAGUACUUAGGCAGCUCAUGUGCUUUCUUAGAUAAUCUUUAGGAGGGAUUUAGUCCUGGCUUGUACUGAAUGGUAAUGUUCUAAUGCUCACAGAUUUCCCCAGAGCAUACAAAAGCCUUCAUUUCCUUGCUCUAUUUUGGACUGUAUAUUCAAAAUAAUGCUACAAUGCUAUGAUCCUCUAAAAUAUCUCAAUUGCAAGAGCACAAAAAAUGGCUUUCAUAUAAAAUGUGGAGUUCUACAAAGAGUAAAACAAAGACUUUUGUCACUUAAGUGAUAGUUAAGAACUGCAUUUUAAAGUCCAAUUAGACUACUAAUCAUAUCCCUACCACAGAAAGAGGAAAAGUGGAUGGGAACGGCAUGAUUAGAAUUAGGAGAUCCCAGGAAAGCCAAGGUAGGAAUCAGCUUCUAUCGUGGUGACCUUCAGAUAAUGACUGACACCUGCCCAUCUUUUCCUGCAUUAUCUUCAUCUGGUGAUCUGCUUGCGGCUGGGGAUGUUCAAGUGUUACUCAAUUUAAAGUGCUUGACUCAUUGGUUCCCUGAUGGUGGCACUGUUGUAGAACCCUGGGUGGGGGAAGUGAGUACUGAGGGUGGGUCUCCGGGUUAAAUAAACCCUCUCCACUUCCUGCCUGCUCUCUGAGGCCUCACUGUGGAAAGACACAGCCUGUGUCUUCUCUGCUGCAGUGGACUGCAGAUUCUUUAAACCGGAAAGAGUCAUGAUACAGCUGCUCAGGCUGCAGCAAGCCCUAGGGGUCAUCCUGCUUCCCCCACGCCAGUGCUGGAGUUAUGGGAAUAUUCUGCUCAUCCCGGUUUUUAUGCAUAUGUUUGAAAGAGUGUGAAGUUGAUCAUGGGAAGCCAUUGUCUUCAUGGGGAAGAUGCGAUUACAAAGCAUCCAUGGACUCUCAGAGCCACUACUGCAAAUUCACUGAGGAGUCUGGAGAUGAAGAGACUGCACCAUGGGUCCAGAACUGGUAGCAAAUGCCCCAAGUCUCUGACCAGUCAUGGCUUUCUCCUCCAGUGCGCUGGCCUUUCAUACCUCACAUGCUUGCCUUAGACUACAUCAGUUCCUUUUCUCUUAGAAUCCCUAUCACCAAUAAAUAAACAACUAUCCUGAAAAAAUAAAUGAGAUAUCAGCCUAA